GAUGAACGCUAGCUACAGGCUUAACACAUGCAAGUCGAGGGGUCUCGAGGGAGCUUGCUCUUGAGAGACGACCGGCGCACGGGUGGGUAACGCGUAUCCAACCUGCCCUUCAUAUUGGGAUAGCCUUCCGAAAGGGAGAUUAAUACCGAAUAACAUGAGAAGAUUGCAUGAACCUCUCAUGAAAGCUCCGGCGAUGAAGGAUGGGGAUGCGUUCCAUUAGGUAGUAGGCGGGGUAACGGCCCACCUAGCCGACGAUGGAUAGGGGUUCUGAGAGGAAGGUCCCCCACACUGGAACUGAGACACGGUCCAGACUCCUACGGGAGGCAGCAGUGGGGAAUAUUGGGCAAUGGGCGCAAGCCUGACCCAGCAAUGCCGCGUGAAGGAAGAAGGCUUUCGGGUUGUAAACUUCUUUUGUCAGGGACGAGUAGAAGACGGUACCUGAAGAAAAAGCAACGGCUAACUACGUG
rnacentral:rRNA from 1 species